rnacentral:misc_RNA from 1 species
GAUGAAGAACGCAGCGAAAUGCGAUAAGUAGUGUGAAUUGCAGAAUUCAGUGAAUCAUCGAAUCUUUGGACGCACAUUGCGCCCCUCGGUAUUCCGUGGGGCAUGCCUGUUCGAGCGUCAUUUACACCCUCAAGCUCUGCUUGGUGUUGGGCGUCUGUCCCGCGUUUCCGCGUGGACUCGCCUCAAAGUCAUUGGCAGCGGUCUUUGCCAGCUUCUUGCGCAGCACAAUUGCGCUCACAGGGGCUCUGGCGGAUCGGCGUCCAUCAAGCUAUUCUAUGACUUGACCUCGGAUCAGGUAGGGAUACCCGCUGAACUUAAGCAUAUCAAUAAGCGGAGGA